GGGGGCGAUGCGGGUUCGACGGGAACAGUGAAGCCGGGUAAGCAGGCCGGAGAAGGUUACUCCGUAAAAAACCAACAAACAACAAUUCCCGAACGUGAACUCGCUCUCGCUGCCUAAUUAGAGCGGCGACGUCCUCCUAGGCUCGCCUGUGGGCUUAGGAAGGGCGACAGACACACAGGCUAGAGAAGUACCUGCCUCCCCGAGGGUACUUCUUGAACUUUUCAGGGGAUAGCCUACAGUAGCCUUGCCUGUGAGGAAGCUGUAGGCGAAAUUCUAAUCACAGGAUAAGCCUGUAGAAAGCCCGUGCGAUAGCUGUUCUCGGACGGGGGUUCGAUUCCCCCCGCCUCCACCA
rnacentral:tmRNA from 1 species